rnacentral:rRNA from 1 species
UACGGGGGGUGCGAGCGUUGUCCGGAAUCACUGGGCGUAAAGGGCGCGUAGGUGGUCUUGUAAGUCUGUGGUGAAAGCCCGGGGCUCAACCCCGGGUCUGCCGCGGAUACUGCGAGACUUGAGUACUGUAGAGGCUGGUAGAAUGCCGGGUGUAGCGGUGGAAUGCGUAGAGAUCCGGCAGAAGACCGGUGGCGAAGGCGGCCAGCUGGGCAGUAACUGACACUGAGGCGCGACAGCGUGGGGAGCAAACAGG